CCCUUAGAUGUCAGGGGCUGCACGCGCGCUACACUGUAGAAAGCAGCGUGCUUUAAAACCUUUCCUGAAAAGGAUGGGUAACCCCAGCAAAAUUCUACGUGCUUGGGAUAGAGAUUUGCAAUUUUCUCUCUUGAACGAGGAAUUCCCAGUAAGUGCGAGUCAUCAGCUCGCGUUGAUUACGUCCCUGCCCUUUGUACACACCGCCCGUCGCUACUACCGAUUGGGAAAAUUUUAGAGAGUCCUGGACUGAUGAUUGUUCGGCUUCACGGCCUUACUUUCGUCGGGAAAGAAUUCGAUAAUAUUUUUCUAGAGGAAGUAAAAGUCGUAACA
rnacentral:rRNA from 1 species